AUUGAACGCUGGCGGCAUGCCUUACACAUGCAAGUCGAACGGUAACAGGUCUUCGGAUGCUGACGAGUGGCGAACGGGUGAGUAAUACAUCGGAACGUGCCCGAUCGUGGGGGAUAACGGAGCGAAAGCUUUGCUAAUACCGCAUACGAUCUACGGAUGAAAGCAGGGGACCGCAAGGCCUUGCGCGGACGGAGCGGCCGAUGGCAGAUUAGGUAGUUGGUGGGAUAAAAGCUUACCAAGCCGACGAUCUGUAGCUGGUCUGAGAGGACGACCAGCCACACUGGGACUGAGACACGGCCCAGACUCCUACGGGAGGCAGCAGUGGGGAAUUUUGGACAAUGGGCGAAAGCCUGAUCCCAGCCAUGCCGCGUGCAGGAUGAAGGCCUUCGGGUUGUAAACUGCUUUUGUACGGAACGAAAAGACUCCUUCUAAUAAAGGGGGUCCAUGACGGUACCGUAAGAAUAAGCACCGGCUAACUACGUG
rnacentral:rRNA from 1 species